rnacentral:lncRNA from 1 species
ACACAAUCUUAAAAUCUUUCCAUCUUAGAAAAUUCUUUCCAAGUAUUUCUUUUGUGUUUUUUUUAGCCUAUAAAAGAUAAUGGAAUAUGUUUUAUAGACUGGAUUUUAUCUCAUCCCCCUUCCCUCUCCGGACGGCACUCAGUUUAAUAGUUGUCAGUUUUUCUUCAGUGUUGAAUUUAAUUAUAUAGGAACAAAAUAUUCCUCAGUAAAUUAGCUUGCUAAAUAUUCUGCCACGUUUGUGAUUUCCCCUUUGAGAAAUAGCUUAAUUACAGAAAUCUACCU